UAGAUAGAAGGUAGGAGACUAGAGAUAGUGGUGAAACUAAUCUCACCCCUAAAGAGUUACAGCUGUGCUAAUUAGCAAGCAUUAAGAACAAGCCUGCCCUUAAUAGGCCACAGCUGGAUCCAAUUAAGAGGGGUAUUAUAAAAGAGCAGGUUGGCUGGUCGAGAGGUGAGAUGGAGUUUGUUGGCUGCGCUGAGAAGAAGAAAGAGUCAGUGCUGUGAGGAGCUGCCCCUGAGAAACCACCGAGAAGAAAGAAAGAGGAUUGGCAACAAGAUUGACUGAAGCUGCAUCUCCUGCCUUGCCUCAGAGAGGCUUCUUGUGAGAAAUUGGGAAGAAAACCAAAGUGGGCCAGAACUGUGGUUUACAACCUGAGCACCCACAAACUGAUCAGCAGAGUUCUUCCAGCUCACACAGGUUUGGACAGCUGGGAAUUCUGGCCCCACACCUCCCUGCUGGAGCAGCAGCAAGCAGCCCUUUCAGCACUGCCUUUCCUAGGAAAUGACACACUCAUUUCAUUUGAGGCAUUGCUUCUCCAGCCAAGGGGCAGCCUGAACUCGGGCUCCCUCUGCACCCAAACCUGUGGCUCCUCACAGCCAUUUCAAGGGAAGGCAAUUUACAGGACACUGAGAGGCUACUGAAACACUCCUAAACAUUUUUAGGUCUUUACUGGAGACAGAAGUGCAACUGGUCUGCAAGAUCUUCCUCCAUUUCUCCAAAACUUGGGUGCACCAAGCCCACGUGUGGGGCUGUGUGAAGCUGUCACAGUCUCCUGGGAAAGUCAUAAUUUUUCCAUGACCUGGAGCACUUUUCAUCUCUCUGCUUGCUGGGCUGUGAGUGUUCUAGGGCAGGCACCAUAUUGUUUUGUUCUGUUUCUUACAAUACUUGGCAAAGAGCAGAGAGAAGGCUGUCUUGGGUCUUUACCAGGUCUCCAAAGUGCUAAAAUAUUACUAACCUUGUAAUAAAUCUCAAAUUUUUAUUAUUGUCUCACACUCUGCAGCUUAUUUUGGCUCUGGGAAUCUGCAAAUUUGGACCAAAAAAAUGUAAAAACUUGUCAAAGUGGAGCAAAUGAGAGCACCCAGCUUCAGUCUCUUUAGCAAGACACAACUGUGAAUCACUGCUCCUUGGGGAGAAGAACACAGGAUUUCCUGGAACCAAAUUCAGGACUUGACAGAGCUGUUUGAUCUUCAACUGAUGUUUUGUUUUUGUUUUCUAAGCAGCAAUAACAUCAUUUUAAGCUAUAAACAGACCAUUUUCCCUUGUCCUUGAAGUGAGUCAUUAAUUAGUUAAUAGCAUGAAUUAAUUGCUGCCUAUGAAUAAUUAAAGGGAUGAUAUUUGUUUUAUCUACAA